UUGCCCAUCUGGGCUGUGGAUACCUGCUGUU
rnacentral:ncRNA from 1 species